ACGUAAUUUUUUUCUUUUUGGACUAUCAAAUGAUAUUUUUAGGUCCUUUAAGUACAGUGUGAAUAUCGCGAAGUUAAAUCAUGUAAAAGAUUUGGGAAAAGUUUAUUGAAAAGUUCCAGAUAGCUGAUUUAAAAUAAUUAGCUAUUCAAAAAAGGAGUUAAAAAUGUUUAAUAUUUACAAUUAUUAUUGCGAGAUAUAGUAACAAAAGUUGGUAUUUUGUACCAUCGUAAGUACAAAUUCUAAGACUCUUUAAUUGAUCUUUGAAGAGAUGUGAAAGGUAAUUAAUAAUUCGUUUCCAGAAUUGAAAUUUAAAAUAAAAUUACUAAGCUUAUACGUAUAUUUUUCAAGUCAAAAUUUAUUUAUUUAUUUAUAUGUACAGAGAAUUUUAUUGAAAUCAAAAAACCCUGAUAUGCCAUUGUAUAAUGGAUUAAAUAUUUGAAGCAAGUUUACAAGAAAAAUUAUAUAAAGAAAUUUCGAUAAAAGAGUAAAAAGAUGUUGGAAAACUAAUUUUGUAAACAAAAACAAAGACUUUAAAGUUACACAAAGUUUUGCAUAAUUAUUGCGUAGAUAUCUAUUCAUAAUAGGAAACGCAUUCAAAUGAUAUAGUAAAUUUAUUUCUAAUAAUGUAAAUUGCAUAUACAUCCAAAAUCAAAUUGCAUUUGAGAUUUCAAUAUUCCUAAAAAAAUUAAUACUUCAAAUCGACGAGUUAAAUUAUUUGAAUGAAAAGAAUAGAGAAAUUAAGUAUUGUAUAUAACGUCUAAUUAUUUUGCCUCGUAAUCGUCGGUAUAUCGACGUAUAGGAACAUCAAAAUCUACGUUUCUACGCAUUUUAUUGGCCAAUAUAAGACGGUGAACGUAUUCCGUAUCUUUGAUAUCUGCGGACGUAUCAAACGCUCGUUUAAUGUAAUUUUUAUUUGAUACCGGCAAAUAUACCGGAUAUUCAAUAUUAAACGAUAUGAUUAGACUUCCUCUUUUCUUCGGACUUUCCGGCAGCGGCAAUCCUUGGCCAGGAUCGAUUCUGUGAAACGUAAAAUAAUUAUUCAGUGAAUGAAACAAAGAGGAGAAGUAGAGAAAGACUGGAUCAGGGGAGGAGACGGUAGACACGUACGUGAUGACAGACGUUAGUGGUAUUCGAAGGGUUCUGUCGUCGAGCGUGUUGACGGUGACCACUGUUCCGGUCAGUGCCUCUCGCAGAAAGAUAUCGACCGUCAUGUGCAAGUCAGAGCCCUCUCUUCGGAAGGUCUCGUGAGGCCGGUCCUCCGUGAUGAAGAUUACAUCCGCUACGCUGACGUGCUUUGGACUGAGUAAAGAUAUUAUGCGAGCUACUACGAUUAACCCAUUUCUGUCCGAUAUGAAAUGUACGAUGCAUUUUAAAUGUAUCCUUUGCGAUAUCCGAAUCGACAUAAGCUAAAAGGUUAUAACGAACUUUCGUGAAGAAAGAAGAAAUUAGCGAUAAUUCCAUACAAUUCGAUUCUACCUCUGAGUAUAUUUCGAAAGGAAAUGAAAAUCUUCAUUUAACCAGACAGAAAUGUUCGAAUUAUAUCUUGUUUAUGAAAUAAAAACAAAGUUAUUUUUUC